AGUGAACGCUGGCGGCGUGCUUAACACAUGCAAGUCGAACGAGAACGGGGUAUAGCUUGCUAUAAUUGUCAGCUAAGUGGCGCACGGGUGAGUAAUGUAUAGGUAAUAUGCCUCUUACUAAGGGAUAACAAAUGGAAACGUUUGCUAAUACCUUAUACUCCUUAUUAACAUAAGUUAAUAAGGGAAAGAUUUAUUGGUAAGAGAUUAGCCUGUAUUGUAUCAGUUAGUUGUUGGGGUAAUGGCUUACCAAGACUAUGACACAUAACUGGUUUGAGAGGAUGAUCAGUCACACUGGAACUGAGACACGGUCCAGACUCCUACGGGAGGCAGCAGUGGGGAAUAUUGCACAAUGGACGAAAGUCUGAUGCAGCAACGCCGCGUGGAGGGUGACACAUUUCGGUGCGUAAACUCCUUUUAUAUGAGAAGAUAAUGACGGUAUUAUAUGAAUAAGCACCAGCUAACUCCGUGCCAGCAGCCGCAGUAA
rnacentral:rRNA from 1 species